rnacentral:lncRNA from 1 species
UGCCAAUGGCUGUGCCAGAUGCAGGCCCAGCACAAGCACGGAGAGAACAGCUGCUACUUUCAAGCUCACCACUGGGAGAUCAAGAAGAAAACCAAGGACACAUAGUGCGAAAAGCGGAAUGGCGCGCAAGAUAGAGAGCAAGGCAGACAAGCGCUUCUCAGGGAGCUCUGUGUAGAGCGGAUAUAGGCAACAAGUGUCAGAAUUCCAUUUCUUUGCUUUAGCCAUCGAGGAGCUCAGAGUCCUGUCCUCCUUCCAUUACCAUCCCCCCUUUUCAGGGCUCUGCUGAACUCUUGUUCUCCUUUCUCUCUAUCCUCCCACCAGGCCAAUGAUGCAAUUAAAAGGAGCCUAAGCCGGCUCUGGUUGGGGAGAUGUUUCUCAUCCUCUAAAGGAGGCUGAAUGGAGUCAGGGUGAGGCUGAGCAGGAGGAGGGUCUUGAAAAGCAGAUCCCCACUAGGACACUUCAAAGAAGAGAGAAGAGCAAGAGUCACCCGCUUUACCACAUGUGCACCUACCAGAGAGAUUUGGGCAAACUUCCUAGUGUUUUCCUUGUGAACACCCUUCAGGAAUUUGUGAUGUUCAGAGAUGGCUAGCUAAAGUUCAGAAAUUCUAUUACUUUCCAUCGGAAAGCCAAGUAACACAUUUUCAUGACUUUUUGAACCCGCCACUCUUAAAAUGCACAGCACUAAAAGCCCCUGGAGGAAAUGGCAGUGAUUUCAGCAUCCAUUCAAAAUGAAGACAGCAGCUGUUUUUAUUCAGGGGUAUUCACACCUUCAGCCUUGCAAAAUUCCCUUAAAAGCCAUCAGUUAGAUUCCAGUGGCUCUAUCCCAAUCUGUUAGUACAACCCUGGCUUUCACCUCCACCUUUAAAAGAUAGAAAAUACUGUGAGACUGUCUCCUACAUGUAUCUUUUUUGUCUGAAACAAAAUCCUCAACCCCAGGGGAAAUGUCCAUCUUAGUGACUGCUCAAAACAAAUCAGCUUGGAUUGCCGUUCACGGAGGUGUGCAUUCCCAGGAAGACAGGGCCCACCAGAAUGAAGAAACCGGAUGGUGGGUGUCAAGCUGAUUAGGGUUCUCUGAUGUUUGAGGAAGUGGACAUGGACGUGAGUUCCUGGCCCUUAAGCUGUGCCUAUGAUUUGGGACAUGCAUAUUCACAAGUGUCCCCAAAAGAGAAAGAACAGCCAGCUGUGAACACAUUGUACGUGUGGAAAAUGGACCGCAGAGGACAAUGAGCGCUCUUCUGCAGGCCAGAGAAUGCCUCCAUUCAUUUGUGGGUUUUAACACAGGUCUAUUAUCUUUAACAGCUUCAUGCUGCCGUCCAAUUUCAGUCCCAGUGCAAUUUUCAGACCCAGUUCCCUCCAGACAGAAUGACGGACUUACCAACAUGUGAAACAGGAUUCAUUUUGUUGUGGUGGCUGGAAAUGACAAACACUGAAAUGAUCACGAAGCCAAAAAGGAGAUAUUUUCUAUUGUUUCCCUACGAGGCAUAAUUUAUUCUUUUCAGUGCAUUAAAGACUCUGCACUUGAUGGAUCAGCUGGCAUCAUCCAGAUCAAUAAACUGGCUCACUUGAUCUUGGCCCCCAACCCAGGAACUGACUCAGCGCAAGAAGACUGCUCCAACUCCCUAUGAUUUCAUCUCUGACCAAUCGGCACUCCUGGCUCACUGGUUUCCCCCUACCUACCAAAUUAUCCUUAAAACCUGUGCUCCCCUCCCAAAUGCUCAGAGAGACUGAUUUGAGUAAUAAUAAAACUCUGGUCUCCUGCACAGCC